rnacentral:rRNA from 1 species
AGCGAACGCUGGCGGCAGGUCUAACACAUGCAAGUCGAACGGACCCUUCGGGGUUAGUGGCGGACGGGUGAGUAACACGUGGGAACGUGCCUUUAGGUUCGGAAUAGCUCCUGGAAACGGGUGGUAAUGCCGAAUGUGCCCUUCGGGGGAAAGAUUUAUCGCCUUUAGAGCGGCCCGCGUCUGAUUAGCUAGUUGGUGAGGUAAAGGCUCACCAAGGCUACGAUCAGUAGCUGGUCUGAGAGGAUGGCCAGCCACAUUGGGACUGAGACACGGCCCAAACUCCUACGGGAGGCAGCAGUGGGGAAUCUUGCGCAAUGGGCGAAAGCCUGACGCAGCCAUGCCGCGUGUAUGAUGAAGGUCUUAGGAUUGUAAAAUACUUUCACCGGUGAAGAUAAUGACUGUAGCCGGAGAAGAAGCCCCGGCUAACUUCGUGCCAGCCGCCGCCGUAAAAC